rnacentral:rRNA from 1 species
CUGGCUCAGGACGAACGCUAGCGGCGUGCCUAAGAAAUGCAAGUCGAGCGAGGUAUCGGAGCUUGCUCUGAUAACUUAGCGGCGAACGGUCGCGUAACACGUAAGCAACCCUGGCCCCUGGGAGUGGGGGGAUGGUCCUCCGAAAGGGGGGCUUAAUACCGCAUGUGGCCACUGACCCGCAUGAGUCAGUGUCUAAAGCAGCAAUGCGCUCCAGGAUGGGCUUGCGGCCUAUCAGCUAGUUGGUGUGGGUAACGGCUCACCAAGGCGACGACGGGUAGCUGGUCUGAGAGGAUGGUCAGCCGGACUGGGACUGAGACACGGCCCAGACUCCUACGGGGGGCAGCAAUUAGGAAUCUUGCGCAAUGGGCGAAAGCCUGACGCAGCGAACCGCCGCGUGACUGAUGAAGUCCUUCGGGAUGUAAAGGUCUUUUGCAGGGGAAGAAGGAUGUGACGGUACCCUGCGAAUAAGCUCCGGCUAACUACGUGCCAGCAGCUGC